UACGUAGGGGCUAGCGUUAUCCGGAAUUACUGGGCGUAAAGGGUGCGUAGGUGGUUUCUUAAGUCAGAGGUGAAAGGCUACGGCUCAACCGUAGUAAGCCUUUGAAACUGGGAAACUUGAGUGCAGGAGAGGAGAGUGGAAUUCCUAGUGUAGCGGUGAAAUGCGUAGAUAUUAGGAGGAACACCGGUGGCGAAGGCGACUUGCUGGGCAGCAACUGACGCUGAGGCGCGAAAGCCAGGGGAGCAAACGGGAUUAGAUACCCGUGUAGUCCCUGAGCGGG
rnacentral:rRNA from 1 species